AGUGAACGCUGGCGGCAGGCCUAACACAUGCAAGUCGAACGGCAGCACAGGAGAGCUUGCUCUCUGGGUGGCGAGUGGCGGACGGGUGAGGAAUACAUGGGAAUCUACCCUGUCGUGGGG
rnacentral:rRNA from 1 species